rnacentral:ribozyme from 1 species
UCUUUUUGAUAAAUCACACACCUCUACGCGGUGAGCAGCAGGCAACGAUCUUUAUGAUUGGCUGAGAUGUGAAG